rnacentral:rRNA from 1 species
AGUCGAACGGCAGCGCGGGGCAACCUGGCGGCGAGUGGCGAACGGGUGAGUAAUAUAUCGGAACGUACCCAGAAGUGGGGGAUAACGUAGCGAAAGUUACGCUAAUACCGCAUACGAUCUACGGAUGAAAGUGGGGGACCUUCGGGCCUCAUGCCUUUGGAGCGGCCGAUAUCCGAUUAGCUAGUUGGUGAGGUAAAGGCUCACCAAGGCGACGAUCAGUAGCUGGUCUGAGAGGACGACCAGCCACACUGGGACUGAGACACGGCCCAGACUCCUACGGGAGGCAGCAGUGGGGAAUUUUGGACAAUGGGCGCAAGCCUGAUCCAGCAAUGCCGCGUGAGUGAAGAAGGCCUUCGGGUUGUAAAGCUCUUUUGUCAGGGAAGAAACGGCCUGGGUUAAUACCUUGGGCUAAUGACGGUACCUGAAGAAUAAGCACCGGCUAACUACGUGCCAGCAGCCGCGGUAAUACGUAGGGUGCAAGCGUUAAUCGGAAUUACUGGGCGUAAAGCGUGCGCAGGCGGUUUUGUAAGUCUGUCGUGAAAGCCCCGGGCUUAACCUGGGAAUUGCGAUGGAGACUGCAAGGCUUGAAUCUGGCAGAGGGGGGUAGAAUUCCACGUGUAGCAGUGAAAUGCGUAGAGAUGUGGAGGAACACCGAUGGCGAAGGCAGCCCCCUGGGUCAAGAUUGACGCCCAUGCACGAAAGCGUGGGGAGCAAACAGGAUUAGAUACCCUGGUAGUCCACGCCCUAAACGAUGUCUACUAGUUGUCGGGUUUUAAUUAACUUGGUAACGCAGCUAACGCGUGAAGUAGACCGCCUGGGGAGUACGGUCGCAAGAUUAAAACUCAAAGGAAUUGAC